UCUCCGUAGGUGAACCUGCGGAGGGAUCAUUAAUAGAGAUGGUGGGCCCCCGGGCCCCCGUCCCCGACCCUUUGUCGACCAAACCACUUUUACCUCGGGGGCAGAGCGUCCUCCGCCGCCCCCGGUGGACCAUUCAACCCUGUCUCUGUAUGUCGGAGUCUUUGAUAAAUAAAUGAAAACUUUUAACAACGGAUCUCUUGGUUCUGGCAUCGAUGAAGAACGCAGC
rnacentral:misc_RNA from 1 species